UACGGGGGGGGGCAAGCGUUGUUCGGAAUUACUGGGCGUAAAGGGCUCGUAGGCGGCCAACUAAGUCAUACGUGAAAUCCCCCGGCUUAACCGGGGAACUGCGUCUGAUACUGGAUGGCUUGAGUUCGGGAGAGGGAUGCGGAAUUCCAGGUGUAGCGGUGAAAUGCGUAGAUAUCUGGAGGAACACCGGGUGGCGAAGGCGGCAUCCUGGACCGAUACUGACGUGAGGAGCGAAAGCCAGGGGAGCAA
rnacentral:rRNA from 1 species